UACGGGGGUGAGCGAGCGUUGUCCGGAAUCACUGGGCGUAAAGGGCGCGUAGGUGGUUUGAUAAGGGUGUGGUGAAAGUCCGGGGCUCAACCCCGGCAUCUGCCGUGCCGACUGUCAAACUCGAGGACUGUAGAGGCAGACGGAAUUCCGGGUGUAGCGGUGGAAUGCGUAGAGAUCCGGAGGAAGACCGGUGGCGAAGGCGGUCUGC
rnacentral:rRNA from 1 species